GGAGUUUGGAAAGAGGAGUUGAGAGUUGGAUGCAAGAGGUGAAGGACCCUUGCUGAGAGAGAAGGAGAGUGAGAGAGGCCUAGGAACAGAGGCCUGCUUGAAGUCCAUGCUCAGAGGAGAGCUGCAGCAUCCUGGCAGAAUCUUCCAGCAGACAGAGAUACAGAGCUGUUUGCAGCAGAGUCAGCAGUGAAGAGGUUAAAGGCUGAACUGCCCUGAUUGCUGGUGGUAGAGUGGGCACCCUGAAUUCAGCCACACACCAAUAAAAGCUUUUGAUCUCCAGUCCCACUGACAUACUGAAGUUUCCAAUACAAUUCAACCCAUACUGUGGAGUAAGUUACUCAUGGGCCCCAACUGUGUUAUGUGCACCAACUAAAGG